AAUCCCACAAGAAAGAGUUAAGCAAAACUAACCAAUAAAGUAACCAAAUGCACAGUGUAUGCAGUGUUUGACUCCAGUAACUCCUCAUCUCUCUUCUGUGAAGUCAAGCUUCUGAAUCGUGAUCAAGAUUGGACCAGAGCCUGUUGGCCAGUCUCCUCACUGCUCUUGUUAACUAGGAGUGAUGACUGCUUCUACCUGCUAAAAGAGAACAGUAAUAUCAGGCCUUUUCAACUGAAGUGACCUCCACCUGCCUCCCCAUGACCAGCUUCCAGGAAUAGCUCUAGCUUUCGCCAUUUAUCAUCAUAAUCAUCAUCGUUAUCACCAUCCUCAUUGGAGUCAUCACUUUCCAUUUUUUUCCUAGCUGUUUUUUUACUGUUGUUCAGUUAAAAGUGGUUUUAUCGAAAAGUUAAAUGCAUGAAUGAUCGGCGUCAGGAGGAAUGAAUUUCAGAGCCGUGGAAUGUCAGAAUCGGAAGGGAUCUUAGCCCUAGCUCUUCCACAAGCUUGCAAUUUUGGACAUUGAAAGCCCAUCCCGACCAAACUCCAGCCUGCCUUCCCAGCAUGAUCACACCCUUCUUUCCCUCUUGUACUCUUUGCUCUAGUUGGACUGAUCUAUUUAUAUUCUUCUAAACAAAAGUUCAUUUCCCACUUUGGGAGUUUUGCACUUAAGAGGAGUCUGAGGCUCUCACCUUAAUAAUUAGAGUGGGCUCAAAGUUCUUGAUAGAAUGAUUCAUGAAGAGGCAUGAACUGGAUGGAAACAAGGUCUAGAAAUCACUAUUGAAACACUUCCUUACUGAAUACUAUGCUAGAGAAACUUGGGUAAUCAGGUUGGGGAAGGAGCACUCUAAGCCACUGAGGCAACUGCAAGGGGUGUGAUUGGGAUUGAUCAAGGACCCUCAGUCAUAUCUUGGUGGUUUUGUGUAAAAUAACAAGCGAGCCUGGACCCUGGGCUUUUGGAUGGUAAGUUGGGAGAGAACAGUUCUAGCCAAGCCCCCGAGCUGGAUACCUUUGGUAAGGAAAAGAGCCUGUCUCCAUCCUCAUCUGCUCUUACCCUCUUGACCAGAGGAAAACCUGGGGAAAACUCACCAGGCACUCAAUAUAGUUUUCAUUGCAACAUGGAUGAGACUGCAGAAUUGCAGUGACUGGCAGCCCACUCUGUAGCAGAGCACAACAACAAAUUAGACAUAGUAAACUGAGGCACUCUGAAGGCUCCACAAGA
rnacentral:lncRNA from 1 species